UAGAUAGCUACUGGUGACUGCCACCUGCUUGGGGACUGGGGACUGGGGGCUGGGGCCGGGGAGACCGACAUAAAGCAACAAGGCCCCAUAGCGCUAGCUGAAGGGGUAUAGUUGCGGUUGGCCCUCAGGAUGCUGGUGCCUCUCAGUCCGAGAGCACAGUGCAGGACUUCCUGUACAGCUGGGGCUCGUUAACCUGAAGCCUUGACAUGGAAAGGGAGGAGUGAAGAAGUCCAGAUGUGUCACCAGCAUUCAGAACAGAGGCCGACUGGAGCCUAGGAAGAAGCAGAUUGUGCCUGCCAGCCUGCGCCGGGCGGCCUUCUCCUUCCUACUUCUGUCUGUGCGCACUACGUCAGCCUCACCAGGAACAAACCAGACCUAGCGGAGCCUCAGGACUCCUUCAGACGUGUGCAUAUCAGCCCCUGGGGAUCAUGUGACAUGCCCAGACUCCGAGGACUCGAGGAAUGCAGCAUUCAGAUGAGACUCCACUGCUGGCUGUGGUAGAGCAGCCUUGGGAAGCAGCAUCGCAGGUGAUCUGGGCAGCUGCGGGGAUGAAACCAGGGCUCCAGGCGAGCUAAGCAGUCUGCACGCCCAGCCCAGCCCGGAUGUCCUUGAAACUACCUGGGGAUAAACAUAUUCCUCCCAUAG